rnacentral:rRNA from 1 species
UGCAGUCGAACGAUACUCUUUAGCUUGCUAGAGAGGAAAGUGGCGCACGGGUGCGUAACGCGUAUGCAACCUACCUUAAUCAGGGGGAUAGCCCGAAGAAAUUCGGAUUAACACCGCAUAAAAUCACAGUACAGCAUUGUACAAUGAUCAAAUAUUUAUAGGAUUAAGAUGGGCAUGCGUGACAUUAGUUAGUUGGCGGGGUAACGGCCCACCAAGACCACGAUGUCUAGGGGAUCUGAGAGGAUGACCCCCCACACUGGUACUGAGACACGGACCAGACUCCUACGGGAGGCAGCAGUAAGGAAUAUUGGUCAAUGGAGGCAACUCUGAACCAGCCAUGCCGCGUGCAGGAAGACAGCCCUCUGGGUCGUAAACUGCUUUUAUUCGGGAAUAAACCUACUUACGUGUAAGUAGCUGAAUGUACCGAAGGAAUAAGGAUCGGCUAACUCCGUGCCAGCAGCCGCGGUAAUACGGAGGAUCCAAGCGUUAUCCGGAUUUAUUGGGUUUAAAGGGUGCGUAGGCGGCUUUUUAAGUCAGGGGUGAAAGACGGUGGCUCAACCAUCGCAGUGCCCUUGAUACUGAAGAGCUUGAAUGAAUUAGAGGUAGGCGGAAUGUGACAAGUAGCGGUGAAAUGCAUAGAUAUGUCACAGAACACCGAUUGCGAAGGCAGCUUACUAUGAUUUUAUUGACGCUGAGGCACGAAAGCGUGGGGAUCAAACAGGAUUAGAUACCCUGGUAGUCCACGCCCUAAACGAUGAAUACUCGCUGUUAGCGAUACACAGUUAGCGGCUAAGCGAAAGCGUUAAGUAUUCCACCUGGGGAGUACGGUCGCAAGAUUGAAACUCAAAGGAAUUGACGGGGGCCCGCACAAGCGGAGGAGCAUGUGGUUUAAUUCGAUGAUACGCGAGGAACCUUACCCGGGCUUGAAAGUUAGUGAAUCAUUUAGAGAUAGAUGAGUCCGCAAGGACACGAAACUAGGUGCUGCAUGGCUGUCGUCAGCUCGUGCCGUGAGGUGUUGGGUUAAGUCCCGCAACGAGCGCAACCCCUAUGUUUAGUUGCCAGCACGUCAUGGUGGGGACUCUAAACAGACUGCCUGUGCAAACAGAGAGGAAGGAGGGGACGACGUCAAGUCAUCAUGGCCCUUACGUCCGGGGCUACACACGUGCUACAAUGGAUGGUACAGAGGGCAGCAAGCUGGUAACAGCAAGCAAAUCUCCAAAAGCCAUUCACAGUUCGGAUAGAGGUCUGCAACUCGACCUCUUGAAGUUGGAUUCGCUAGUAAUCGUAUAUCAGCAAUGAUACGGUGAAUACGUUCCCGGGCCUUGUACACACCGCCCGUCAAGCCAUGGAAGUUGGGGGUACCUAAAGUAUGUAACCGCAA